rnacentral:misc_RNA from 1 species
GAUGAAGAACGCAGCGAAAUGCGAUACUUGGUGUGAAUUGCAGAAUCCCGUGAACCAUCGAGUCUUUGAACGCAAGUUGCGCCCGAAGCCACUAGGCCGAGGGCACGCCUGCCUGGGCGUCACACGCCGUUGCCCCCCCAUCUACUCCUUCGGGAUUGCGGGGGGGCGGAUGAUGGCCUCCCGUGCGCCUAGCCGCGCGGUUGGCAUAAAUACCAAGUCCUCGGCGAGGCACGCCACGACAAUCGGUGGUUGCGAAACCUCGGUUGCCCGUCGUGUGCGUUCGUCGCGCAUCGAGGGCUCGAAAAAAUGCUCGGCUCCGGCUGGGCUUUCAACGCGACCCCAGGUCAGGCGGGGUUACCCGCUGAAUUUAUGCAUAUCAAUAAGCGGAGGA